AGUUGGUGGAGUGAUUUGUCUGGUUAAUUCCGAUAACGAACGAGACUUUAACCUGCUAAUUAGUCGUCCUCAUUUUAUGGGGUAUGACUUCUUAGAGGGACUAUGCAUAUCAAGUGCAUGGAAGUUUGAGGCAAUAACAGGCCAGUGAUGCCCUUAUAUGUCCUGGGCUGCACGCGUGCUACACUGAUGCAUACAACAAGUGCCUAACCAGACAUGGUAUGGCAAUCUAGAAUAUGCAUCGUGAUGGGGUUGGUCUUUGCAAUUAUAGAUCUUGAACGAGGAAUUCCUAGUAAGUGCAAGUCAUCAUCUUGCAUUGAUUAUGACCUUGCCCUUUGUACACACCGCCCGUCGCUCCUACCGAUACCGGGUGAUCCGGUGAACCUUUUGGACCUGCAAGGGGAAGAUAAGUAAACCAUAUCACCUAGAGGAAGGAGAAGUCGUAACAAGGUUUCCGUAGGUGAACCUGCAGAAGGAUCAUAAUCG
rnacentral:rRNA from 1 species